rnacentral:miRNA from 1 species
UUUCUAUCAAAAUCAUUAGU